rnacentral:rRNA from 1 species
UGAGCAAUCUGCCCUUUUCAUCGGAAUAAGCGUUGGAAACGACGUCUAAUGCCGAAUACGACCUCCUUUCGCAUGAUCGGAGGUGGAAAGCUCCGGCGGAGAAGGAUGAGCUCGCGGCCUAUCAGCUAGUUGGUGUGGGUAAUGGCCCACCAAGGCGAGGAUGCGUAGCCGACCUGAGAGGGUGAUCGGCCACAUUGGAACUGAGACACGGUCCAGACCUCGUACGGGAG